AUUGAACGCUGGCGGCAUGCCUUACACAUGCAAGUCGAACGGUAACGGGUCCUUCGGGAUGCCGACGAGUGGCGAACGGGUGAGUAAUAUAUCGGAACGUGCCCAGUAGUGGGGGAUAACUGCUCGAAAGAGCAGCUAAUACCGCAUACGACCUGAGGGUGAAAGGGGGGGAUCGCAAGACCUCUCGCUAUUGGAGCGGCCGAUAUCAGAUUAGCUAGUUGGGGGGGUAAAGGCCUACCAAGGAAACGCUCUGUAGUUGGUCUGGGAGGGCGGCCAGCCACAAUGGGACUGAGACACGGCCCAGACUCCUACGGGAGGCAGCAGUGGGGAAGUUUGGACAAUGGGCGCAAGCCUGAUCCAGUAAUGCCGCGUGCAGGAAGAAGGCCUUCGGGUUGUAAACUGCUUUUGUCAGGGAAGAAAUCGUCUGGGCUAAUACCCCGGGAGGAUGACGGUACCUGAAGAAUAAGCACCGGCUAACUACGUGCCAGCCGCCGCGGUAA
rnacentral:rRNA from 1 species